UAGUCAUAUGCUUGUUUCGAGGAUUAAGCCAUGUAAGUCUGAGAGUAAAUGGUAUACAGUAGAUCUGCGAACGGCUCAUUAUAUCAGAUGUAACUUGCCCGAGGAAUCUGCCUUUUGGCAGACAAUUGGAUAACUUUGGUAACUCCAAAGCUAAUACAUGUCUGAAGAUGCAGUGCCGUCAAUGUCCCGGGGCUUGCUUCGGGGCUGGCAUCUGCACCAGUUGACUGAGAUAAAGACCAACGCUAGCAAUAGCAGUGAGGUGUUAGGAUGAAUCAGGUCAACGAAGGAUUAGCGUAUGCUUUGUGCGACGCUAGCUUGGAAAGGCAUCUGACCCAUCAGCUUUAGACGGUAGGGUAUUGGCCUACCGUGGCAGUUACGGGUAACGGGGAAUUAGGGUUCGAUUCCGGAGAGGGAGCCUGAGAAACGGCUACCAUGACUAAGGUCGGCAACAGGCGCGCAAAUUACCCAAUGGGAACAUCUACCUGAGGUAGCGAAGAGAAAUAUCAACUCUGUGUGGCUACGUCAUGCAGAGAUUGGAAUGGACGAUAUGUAAAAAUGUCGAUGAGUAUCAAUUGGAGGAAAAGCCUGGUGCCAGCACCCGCGGUAAUUCCAGCUCCAAGAGCGUAUAUUAAUGCUGCUGCCGUUAAAAAGCUCGUAGUGGGAUUAAGAGUUGACGAGUGGUCGGUGGCCCUCUCUGGUCGUCGUCGGCUUCGGUCGCGGCGGCCCGUUUGGGAUCAAACCCCGAUCGCCAAACUCGUCACUCUAUUUCUGGCCGAAACGGUAUUCCCUGCGGAGUAGGCUCCUUCAUUGGGGUCGAAAGCACUUACGCAUUGACCAUGUGCUCAAAGGGACGUCGGCCGAUGCUACUGUGAACAAACCAGCGUGUCCAAAGCAGGCCUCUGGCCUGAAUGCUCUAGCAUGGAAUAGCAAGGGAUCGAUCUUUGAAGAUCUUUUUGUUGGUCUUCAGUCUUCGAAAGAGUAAUCUUCGUCUCUGGUCUCUACCUUAGUCCUUCGGCACUCGUGUCGGAGCCUUUGGAAUGGGAUCACGGGACAACCGGGAUCAAUAGGGACUGACGGGGCGGUACCUAUGAUUGCGUCAGAGGUGAAAUUCUUAGAUCGCAGUCGGAGGAACAUCUGCGAAAGCAUUCCGCAAGAAUGUCUUCAUUCAUCAAGAACGAGAGUGCGGGGAUCGAAGAUGAUCAGAUACCGUCGUAGUCCGCACCGUAAACGAUGCCGUCUCAGGAUCGAUGAAAGGAUUUAUUAUGACCUCAACGGCACUAACCCCUGAAACGAGAAAUCAAAUGAUAUGGGUUCGCGGGGGGAGUACAAUCGCAACGGCUGAAACUUAAAGGAAUUGACGGAAUGACACCACCAGGUCGUGGAGUAUGCGGCUUAAUUUGACUCAACACGGGAACAUUUUACUAGGUCAGGACAAUGUAAGGAUUGACAGAUUGAUAGCUCUUUCUCGAUCCAUUGUGUGGUGGUGCAUGGCCGCUCCUGGUUGGUGGUGUGAAUUGUCUGGUUGAUUCCGUUAACGAACGAGAUCUCGACCCUUAACUAGGUGCUUGUGUCGAUUGUAGUCCUUAGGCGCCGCCUUCGGGCGGUUCAUGCUUUCGGACGAGACUGCAAGUGCAUUCAUAGACUUCUUAAGGGGACUGGGUGCGCUUCUUGUAGCACUCGGAAGAGCGAGCCAAUAGCAGGUCUGUGAUGCCCUUAAAUGUUCUAGGCUGCACGCGCACUACACUGAAGCGGCCAACGAGUCUGUAUACAGUCUCUUCGGAGGCUACCUUGCUAGAAAUAGCUGGGAAACCUUAUGAACUCGCUUCGUGAUGAGGAUCGAAGAUUGCAAUUAUUCUCCUUGAAUGAGGAAUGCCUAGUAGGCGCAAGUCAUCAGCUUGCACUGAUUACGUCCCUGCCAUUUGUACACACCGCCCGUCGUUGCUGCCGAUUGGUCGAUGUGCAGAGGUCGGUGGAGUUAGCCUGUUUGAGGUUCGCCUCUUCAGGUCUUUCGAAACCUACCAAUGUAUCUCGGCUAGAGGAAGCAAAAGUCGUAACAAGGUUGCU
rnacentral:rRNA from 1 species